AGUGAACGCUGGCGGCGUGCCUAAUACAUGCAAGUCGAACGGAGUGGCGCACGGGUGAGUAAUAUAUAGCUAAUCUGCCCCUUGCUGGAGGACAACAGUUAGAAAUGACUGCUAAUACUCCAUAGCAAGGGAUGAGACUAUAUCGUAUCAGCUGUUCGGUGGGGUAACGGCCUACCGAGGCUAUGACGCGUAACUGGUCUGAGAGGAUGAUCAGUCAGAGGGGAAAUGAGACAAGGUACAAACGCCUAAGGGAGGCAGUAGGAGGGAAUGUUGAGCAAUGGGGGAAACCCUGACGCAGCAAUGUCGCGUGGAGGAUGAUACUUUUCGGAGCGUAAACUCCUUUUGUUAGGGAAGCGGGAACUAACGAAUAAGCACGGGCUAACUCCGUGCCAGAAGCCGCGGUAAUUC
rnacentral:rRNA from 1 species